rnacentral:tRNA from 1 species
GCUCGAGUGGCGGAACUGGUAGACGCGCUGGAUUCAAAAUCCAGUAUUUUCGGAUGUGCGGGUUCGAUUCCCGCCUCGAGUACUA